rnacentral:rRNA from 1 species
GACGAAGGGGGCAAGCGUUGUCCGGAAUCAUUGGGCGUAAAGCGCGCGUAGGCGGCCCUGUAAGUCCGUUGUGAAAGUCGAAGGCUCAACCUUCGAAAGCCGAUGGAUACUGCAGGGCUAGAGUCCGGAAGAGGCGAGUGGAAUUCCUGGUGUAGCGGUGGAAUGCGCAGAUAUCAGGAGGAACACCAAUAGCGAAGGCAGCUCGCUGGGACGGUACUGACGCUAAGGCGCGAAAGCGUGGGGAGCGAACAGG